GCAGAGCUUGGAACAGCACAGGAGCUGGAGCUUUUCAAAGAGGAAGCACAGAGCAGGUAGCAGGAGGCAGUUGUCAUGAUGAACUCUCUUGCACUUUCCUGUAAAGAUUGUACCUCCUGGCAGAGUCUUCUGUUCACAGCCUACCUUUUAACCUGCUGGCUGCUUCCCACUACUACCCAGGUCACCAUCGAAUCAGUGCCAUCCAUUGCUGUUGAAGGGGAAACAGUUCUUCUAUUUGUGCAUAGCCUGCCACCUAAUAUUCUUGCCUUUUACUGGUACAGAGGGGUCAGAGCUCUCAGGACUUUUCAAAUUGCAAGAUAUGUGAUAGCUACCAAGUCUUGUGUGGAGGGACCUUCACACCGUGGUAGAGGAACAGUACUCAGCAAUGGAUCUCUGCUGAUCAAGAGUGUCACCAGACAAGACUCAGGACACUAUACUCUACAAAUAAUCACUACAAAUACAAGACCUGAAAUAAUACGUGCAGAAUUCUUUGUACACAGUCCAACUUUAGGCUACAGGAAGCAUCUUACCCCUUCACAACUCUCAACUGAGUUGGUGCCGCCUAGAGUUACUGAAAAUGACAAUAUUUUUCUACUGGCGUACAAUCUGCCAGAGAAACUUCAAAGCUUUUUCUGGCACAAGGGAGUACAUCCACUUGACCGUUUUAAGAUAGCAAGCCAUUCAUUCCUCACCAAUUCAAGCAUGGUGGGGAAUGCAUAUCAUGACAGAGUGAUAAUAUGCAAUGAUGCAUCCCUGAUGCUCUUGAAUGUCACACAGAGAGACACAGGGCUUUACACCCUACGCACCGUAUCUAUGGAUUUGAAAUCAGAAUGGGCCAUUGUGGACGUCCAAGUAAACAGUAAGUGAUUCUUUGUGAUUCCUAGGUGAUGGUGGGGUUUAUUCUUCUCUGUAUAACUAAGGCAAUGAGGCUUGGACUGUAACUUACUCCCCUCUGGACUGUGUACUCUCACUUGGGUUUGGGAAAUUUAGUACAAGACACACAUCAUGGGGCAAACUGAAAUGAAUCAAAAGCCUUGACCUGACAGGAACCUGCUGGACAGGAGUAAUGAUAACUCAGUCCAAGGAUGUGAUCCUCAGCUCAGAUUCUUUGGGCUCUCACCCAAAACAUGGCCCCGAGAAAGCUUCAUGACAUUGCUUGAAUUUGACUCCCUGCUAGAGCUGACUGGAAGCAGUGUGUCAUUCUGCAUGCAAGUCUUGGAGCAUGUGGAACAACCCAGCAUCUGUCAUGGCAAUCAUGAUUAGGCUAGGUCAUUUGGGUGUCUCCUUUUCCUGAGAUUCAGCAUGGACAUAACAGCUGGGUGGGUUGCCAUGCAAUGUACUGACUGUCCUGAUAGUCCUUAGACUUCACAGGAAAGUUUGUGUCCCCAAGGGAACAUGGGUCCUCUUGGCCAUUGCUUGUUCUCAGGAGUUCACCCUAGGGAAAUUCUCAUCUUUAGUGAAAUAACAACAUGCACUCCUGAAUUUAACAGCUCUUCAGUCUCAAGUUUAGGACAUAGUACUUGAGUUUCACUUAAAGACAAGUAAAUGAUAAGUUCCCCUGUUUACUACUGUGGGGAACCUGAGAGACAGUAGAGACACUGGUUGAAUGAAGGUUACACAGCCCAUGGUUGGUAUAUCAGAAACACAAAAUGACUGUGUAUAGUCAGAGCCCCAACGUAUCUACCCUAGGCAGCCUUAUUAAGUAUUUGUGGGUCAGAUGUGUUCUGUGGGUUCAGAAAUUUUCACCUUAGGGAUCAGUAUCUCACAGGGAGAGUCUGGUCCAGGCAGUGGAAGCAACAAAUUACAGCCAGUUUUGACUUUGUAAUAAAGCCUUAAUUGAAUUCUGGACACACACACCCUCCAGCCUAAUUCUCCUACUACAAUGCUCUUGGUUUCAGAUAAUAGAUUUCCUAGUGUGCUGGGUUCACUUCUCUUGAAGCAUAGGGAGAAGGCAUUGGCUUAUCCCUCCAUCAAGAUCCCGCAAAUCACAGAGUCUAGUGUAGCCUUAAAUAAUAAAAAUAGACAAUCCAUCCCACACUACGCCAGGCACUGGCAGGCCACAAGACACCAGUGAAGUGUUCUCAUCUUGGCAGACUCUCUGACACUUUGCUCUGAAAGCUCUCACCUAACUUGCUAUGUUUCCAUGGCAGGUUGGUGCCAAGCCAGUCCCGUGCAUCAGCUGCCCAUCUUAAGAACGUGGAAGUAUGGCUUCAGACAAUCGAAGACCAGAAAGUGAACUACAGGCCAGGACCUUGAAGAAUCUAAAACAAAAGUUGGACAUGUGCUUUUCUUCUACUGAUACUAUCUAUUACAAAUAAAUAGCUUUCUGCUUA